rnacentral:rRNA from 1 species
UACGUAGGGUGCAAGCGUUGUCCGGAAUUAUUGGGCGUAAAGAGCUCGUAGGCGGUCUGUCGCGUCGGCUGUGAAAACUCGGGGCUCAACUCCGAGCUUGCAAUCGAUACGGGCAGGCUAGAGUUCGGCAGGGGAGACUGGAAUUCCUGGUGUAGCGGUGGAAUGCGCAGAUAUCAGGAGGAACACCGGUGGCGAAGGCGGGUCUCUGGGCAGUAACUGACGCUGAGGAGCGAAAGCGUGGGGAGCGAACAGG